UAAAGAUUAAGCAAAAGAAACUGCAGAAUAUAUAUUCAUUUAACCAGCCAUUAGCAAUUUGAUUUUUGAAAUAUGUACCUUAAUUUAAAAUAUCAUUAGAAAAUAAGCUGAAUUCUUCUUGGAAGAGGAUAGCUGAUUUUAAUUCAUAAAAGUUGUCUUCUUUUCUUUCAGGUUGUGACAAAACAUUCUUACCAAAGAAAGCAGUAUACAUGAGAGGAAAAGUUUCUUUAGCUGAAAAUUCUAGAUUAUAGUACAUGUCAGUAAGAAAGGCAAAAUAGCAUGAAAGUUAAAAUAUUGCUCCACAACCUUAGAGCAGAGAAAAUAGAUGGAUGCAUUCUUCAAGUAUUGAACUGACUUUCCUUCUCAAUCAAUCCCAGUUUAUUCAGCCCAAGAGUGCUCCCUAUAUUCAAGAGCUGUCAUAGAUGAAUCUUUAGUCAUGGACUGAAGAGAUAAAUGAGAAAAACAAAGAGUUCCCAUGGAAUAAUCAUCAGAUUUUAUGCUUCACCAGUUCCUGUCACUUCCCAAUAGCAUGAUGCUGAAGACUGGAUUUUACUAUGUAAACGUUUUCAAGACACUGAAGAUUUGAAGUAUUUUUUAAUAUAGCCAACUUUUCUCAUAACAAGUCCUUUAUUAGAAUCAGGCAAAUAUGCAAACAGAAUGCUGUUGUAAGACUCCAGGGAGCCUUAGCUUUCUGGAGAUCCUGUGAAUAAAACACAUGAAGCUGGGAUUGAUGCAAAAAGCAAGAGGAAUCUAUUGUUCCUGUGCACCAGGUUCGUCCCAGACCCAAAGGAGAGGCAGUGGCCCCCAGCACCCAACUGCCCCCAGACUAGAGAUGAACCUACUACAUUGUGAAUGCUGGCAAAUACUCUACAACUGUAUUACAUCCCAGGGCUGGAACCCAACUCAUCUUCUGCAACAAUUACAGGCAGGCUGGAUGAAGACACUCAACCUACACUGUAGCCAUCUCAUGAAUGGUUCAUGAGAAUGGCUUCCAAAAUGAUUUCAAGACUGAGAAUGUUUAGCUAUCUGGGAGAGAAAAUAAGGAGACUCAGUCUACACUGUACAUUAAGGACUGUUUAUUCUGUUAAAGGCUGACAUAGAUUAUUGACUCAUGUCACAUGUGAAAGUAAAUAAAAAUCCAGGUUAAUGUAUGCAUCUGGUAGGAUUUACCAAACACACCACCAUACAUGAGUGGACUUAGAAAGACCCAGGCCCCUCAGGGUUCUAAGGUAUUCAAGGAGUCCCCACAAAUACAAUAGUAACAUGCUAGUGUAGUCUAAAUUUUCUCUCACUGGUCUCACCUUAGUUCUAGUGUACUGCUGAGUGGGGCAUUGGGCUAUGCACACACAGGC